UAGCUGAAUGACCUUUGGGCUCAGUGUCCUCAAUUAUUAAGUAAUAAUAGAUUCUUUCUCCUGGAAUUUUAAUGGCACUUAAACCAAACAAAGCAGGUAAAGCACUUAGCCCACAAGAAGCAAGUGGACAAUCAAUGUUAGUCAUCAUAAGACUAAAAAUUAACUUAAGCAUCAAGGUAUGCAAACUAUGGAAUAUAGGCAGUAGGCACCCACUCACUUAAGAACUAUUGAUAUUGCACUUACUAUGUGCCAGGCACAGAUCAACACACUUCAUUUUUUUAAAAUCCUUUUAUUAGUUCUCCCAGCAACUUCAGGAGACAGGUACUAUUACUUUGCCCUACUUUAAAUAUGAGGAAGCAGAGGCACACAAUUACCAAGCUGCACAUCCGAGAUUCAAUCUCAGGUUCCCUUGACGAUGCUCUUCCAGUGCUGUCCAAUGGAACUUUCCGCAAUAAUGGAACUCCUCUGUCUGUGCUGUUGACACUAGCUACUGGGCACGCAGGGCAACUGAGUCCUUGAAAUGUGACUGGAUUUCCAAGCAGAAUGUUCAUAUCUUUUUCUGUACGUAGACUGACUCAGCCUUGCCACAAUUUUGUGGGCGAAGUGGUUUCAGCACCUCCGUCAUUGUCCAAGACGUUUCAAGAAAGCCAAAAGAAGUUGAGAAGCUCAUUGUCAUAAUCUCUGUUGAUCAGGAAAUGUAGAAAUCAAAGAGGAUUACGUGAGUUCAGGAUUUUCCUCCAUAUUCAUGUCCCCUGGAUUCAACAUUGUAAUAAUAAUGAAGACUGAACAAAUUUGACUUGAAAAUUUUGGGGGUCUUUCUAACAAAACAGAAAUAGGUAAUGGAACAUCUCAAGCUCGGCUCAGAAUGUAACAUUUUUCACAAUCCGCUGUCUGAAUUACUCAAACUUUGAUAUCUAAUCUUGAUAUCUCAUAAGGUCAGUCUUCUCGCCUUAUUCAUCUGCAUGAUUAUCUUGGUUAUCUUGGGUCUUUCUCAUCUUCGCAUAAAUUUUAGAAUUAUCCUAUCAGGUUACAUACACAAAAAUGCAAGCACACAAAAACGUGAUGGAAUUUUUAUUGGGAUGACACUGAAUCUAAAUCAAUUAGAGAAGAAUUGAAAUAUUUAAUAGAGUUUUAAUAGAGUAUUUAAAUAGAGUAGAAUAUUUAAUAGAGUUCUAUUUAAAUUUAGAAGCAUGGAGGAGAGGUCCCCACAGCUGGGACUUAGACCUCUGAAGAGGAAAUGCGGGUGGGAGGAAGGGGUCACACAAUGAAGCUGGUUUGGUAAAUGUAGAAAAAACUGCAAACUGUGUGCAGCUGCCGUGUCACGAAGGAAUUGCUGCUGCCAAGGUGAGGGAGUAUUGCUGGCGUGACGCUCACACGAGCUUCGAGCAAACAAGAAGCCCGCAGGAACCCACAAGAAGGAGCAAGUCCCUUCAGCUUCCUCCAGCCUUGCAAGUCUCCCUCUGGACUCUCUGCUGGUAGAGCCUAACAGGGCAAGCAAAAGGUGGCUUGCAGAGUCCAGGUCCCAGCAUCACUAAGCGAAUGAUAGACGGUGGUUUGGAAGCCAACUGGCCCACUCUCUUAUUUGUGUCUCCAUUCUCCCCUUCGUUCCUACUUUCCUCAAACCCAAUCUUAUCUGGUCUCUGGGAGAAAUCUCAAGCCAGCAAACAUGCCUCUGAGAAACUUCCAGUACUUCCACAGGUCAGCAGUUUCUUAGAUCCUUGCUUCAAUUUCAUGGGAGAGGGAAGAGAAAUUGGCCUCAACGCAUGAGAGAGAAAAGGAGAAGAGAAUCCACAAAGAACAGUCUACUUUAAAGAUUUAACUCUACCACGUUUCUACCUACUUUUGACAAAGACACCAGUAGAGAGAACUGUUUUCUACUAAAAGAGAAACGGCAAGCGCAGUAAGUGGGAACUGGCACCGUCAGUGUUGUGAAGCAGCAGGAAUUGGUGGGACCGUGGAGAACACAUGCCUGUCUAAAGAGGGCAGCAGCUGCCCAGCCAGCCAUAGACUGCAAUGUGGUAAUGUGAGUCCAGUGUUCCCAGAUCUCCUAAUUUUUUGAGAGAUGCCAGAAAUCUGGAUUUUUAUGUGAAAGCUUCCAAUUUCAAGAUGUUGGCUCAAAAAUGUUUUAAACAUUGUACAAGCCAAAUGAAACAUUGCAAUGGGCCAAAUCUAGCCUGUGGGCCAUGGUUUGGGACGUAUGCAGUGCAGCAUGCAGACGAAAGGGGAUCUGCGGCAAUAUAUGGACCUCAAGUAUCACGUCACGUGGCCUAUGGGAAAGAACAGCCUAGUUCAACAUUAUGCGAUAACCUGAAUUUUAAUGCAAUGUUGGUUUCUUGUGUUAGGCUUCUUUUUGUUUCCUUUUCUUUCUUUCUUUUUUUGUUAUCAUUCUUGAUGACGUUAACACAAAGUCAGCCUAACCUAGUGCUGUCAGCGUUAGCAUGAUCACGCACGUCAAUGUGGAGUUAAUUUAAAACGAACACUUUGGGAGAAAGAAACUGUAUAAAUCAAAUAUAUAAUCACUAUUCUGGGGUUUGGAAUUUGCUUCAAGAAAGUUGGCACCUCUUUAGUUUCACUGUGAGAGCAAUAGUCAAUCAUUGGGGCAUCUAGUAGGAUAUGUAAACUGGCAGCAAUUUGAAAUAAAUGUUUAUAUACAUAUAGAUAUAUACAUACAUGCAUUGUACCUAUAGUAUAAUCAUAUAUUAAAUCCUGUGGUCUUUGGCAGAAACUUCUGUACAGCUCUAUUACAAAAUGAUAAAGUAUAUUGCAAAAUAAAAUGUGUAGACAUUAAAACUGGAA
ensembl:lncRNA